AUGUAGCUGUAGCAAUUAUUAUUAUUAUUUAUUUUUAAGAGGUGUUGCAGUUGUAUCAGAUCCAGUUGUUGGCUCAUGGUGUGAUGAUGGUCGGCCCCAGUGGAAGUGGAAAGUCUUCAGCCUGGAAGGUUCUCCUGAAGGUGCUUGAGAAGCUGAAGGUGUUAAAGGUGUGGCUCACGUCAUAGAUCCCAAGGCAAUAUCAAAGGAAGACCUUUACGGAGUCCUUGAUCCUAACACUAGGGAGGGACUGAUGGACUCUUCACUCACAUACUCAGAAAGUUGUUGGUCUUAAUGUCUCAUCAGCCACUACCCCUGAGCUUUUAUUAAAGAGGUUUGAUCAUUACUGUGAGUACAAGAGGACUCCCAAUGGAGUUGUGAUGGCUCCUUCUCAACUCGGAAAGUGGCUGGUUCUCUUCUGUGACGAGAUUAACCUUCCAGACCUUGACAAAUAUGGUACACAGUGAGUAAUAUCGUUCUUACGUCAGAUUGUCGAGCAUGGCAGAUUUUACAGGACCUCCGAUCACACGUGGGUGACAAUAGAGAGGAUACAGUUU